GGCCGCCUUAGAGGAGGAAGGAAGAAGGCAGAGGUCAAGGGGUCAAAAUUGAAGGCACAGGUCUCCGAGCUGAAGGCACAGAUCCCGUCCCUAGUCUCGAAGGUGGGGGCCCGAGCGGUGGAGGAGUUCAAGACCUCCUCCGAGAUGGAGGAUCUGCAGGUCUAGUUCGGCCAGGAUGCUUUCAUCAAGGGCUUCAAACUCUGCCAAGAGAAGG
rnacentral:lncRNA from 1 species